rnacentral:rRNA from 1 species
UACGGAGGGUGCAAGCGUUAAUCGGAAUUACUGGGCGUAAAGCGUGCGCAGGCGGUUUGUUAAGUCUGCUGUGAAAUCCCCGAGCUCAACUUGGGAAUUGCAGUGGAUACUGGCAAGCUGGAGUACGGUAGAGGAAGGUGGAAUUCCCGGUGUAGCAGUGAAAUGCGUAGAGAUCGGGAGGAACACCAGUGGCGAAGGCGGCCUUCUGGACCAGUACUAACGCUCAUGCACGAAAGCGUGGGGAGCAAACAGG